GGAAGGCCCUUCGGGGUACUCGAGCGGCGAACGGGUGAGUAACACGUGAGCAACCUGCCCUAGGCUUUGGGAUAACCCCGGGAAACCGGGGCUAAUACCGAAUAUGACCUUUCCUCGCAUGAGGUUUGGUGGAAAGUUUUUCGGCCUGGGAUGGGCUCGCGGCCUAUCAGCUUGUUGGUGGGGUGAUGGCCUACCAAGGCGACGACGGGUAGCCGGCCUGAGAGGGCGACCGGCCACACUGGGACUGAGACACGGCCCAGACUCCUACGGGAGGCAGCAGUGGGGAAUAUUGCACAAUGGGCGGAAGCCUGAUGCAGCGACGCCGCGUGAGGGAUGACGGCCUUCGGGUUGUAAACCUCUUUCAGCAGGGACGAAGCGUAAGUGACGGUACCUGCAGAAGAAGCGCCGGCCAACUACGUGCCAGCAGCCGCGGUAAGACGUAGGGCGCGAGCGUUGUCCGGAUUUAUUGGGCGUAAAGAGCUCGUAGGCGGCUUGUCGCGUCGACUGUGAAAACCCGCAGCUCAACUGCGGGCCUGCAGUCGAUACGGGCAGGCUAGAGUUCGGUAGGGGAGACUGGAAUUCCUGGUGUAGCGGUGAAAUGCGCAGAUAUCAGGAGGAACACCGGUGGCGAAGGCGGGUCUCUGGGCCGAUACUGACGCUGAGGAGCGAAAGCGUGGGGAGCGAACAGGAUUAGAUACCCUGGUAGUCCACGCUGUAAAC
rnacentral:rRNA from 1 species